GCCUCAGUAACGGCGAGUGAAGCGGCAAAAGCUCAAAUUUGAAAUCCUUCGGGAGUUGUAAUUUGUAGGUUGGGAGACCCCGCGGCUAGUGGCACCAAGUCCCUUGGAACAGGGCGCCUUAGAGGGUGAGAGCCCCGUAGGUACCACAAUACCGUCUUGUGUCUCCUCUCCAAAGAGUCGAGUUGUUUGGGAAUGCAGCUCAAAGUGGGUGGUAAAUUCCAUCUAAAGCUAAAUACCGGCGAGAGACCGAUAGCGAACAAGUACAGUGAUGGAAAGAUGAAAAGCACUUUGAAAAGAGAGUGAAACAGUACGUGAAAUUGUUGAAAGGGAAGGGCUUGCAAGCAGACACGGCCUUCGUGCCGGGCCAGCAUCGGUUGCUAGGGGUGGAUAAGGAACAAGGAAUGUAGCUCCUCGGAGUAUUAUAGCCUUGCGCGAUACACCCACUGGCGACCGAGGCCUGCGGUAUUCUUUACCUAGGAUGCUGGCGUAAUGGUUGCAAGCCGCCCGUCUUG
rnacentral:rRNA from 1 species